GAUGAACGCUGGCGGCGUGCCUAAUACAUGCAAGUCGAGCGAACAGACGAGGAGCUUGCUCCUCUGACGUUAGCGGCGGACGGGUGAGUAACACGUGGAUAACCUACCUAUAAGACUGGGAUAACUUCGGGAAACCGGAGCUAAUACCGGAUAAUAUAUUGAACCGUAUGGUUCAAUAGUGAAAGACGGUUUUGCUGUCACUUAUAGAUGGAUCCGCGCGGCAUUAGCUAGUUGGUAAGGUAACGGCUUACCAAGGCAACGAUGCGUAGCCGACCUGAGAGGGUGAUCGGCCACACUGGAACUGAGACACGGUCCAGACUCCUAAGGGAGGCAGCAGUAGGGAAUCUUCCGCAAUGGGCGAAAGCCUGACGGAGCAACGCCGCGUGAGUGAUGAAGGUCUUCGGAUCGUAAAACUCUGUUAUUAGGGAAGAACAAAUGUGUAAGUAACUAUGCACGUCUUGACGGUACCUAAUCAGAAAGCCACGGCUAACUACGUG
rnacentral:rRNA from 1 species